AUUACAAUUUAAAUCCAAUUAGAUUAUAUAUCGGUCAUCCAUCAGUUCAAUCGGUUAGUUUCGGGUUUUAGUGAUUUUUAAUAUGAAUAUUUUAGAAAUAUAAAUUGAACUAGAUCUCCGGAUUAACCGGUAUAAUCACAAUCGGGUUGAAUUUAAAAAUACUGAUUUAAAUGCAAAUAUUUUAAAUACGCACUCUUUAAAAACUACCAAAAUAUUUGUUAAAUUAUUAGUGAAAUUUUUCAUCGUAAAAUAUCCCGCGCUUCAAAAGCGCGGGUCAAAAUCUAGUUUGUGUUAUUUCAGAAGUUAUGGGGUUUUUAACAAUAUUAUAGUAGUUCUUGCUCAGUUUUGUUAUAUACACGAGGGUAAUCUCGGAAUUUCAGCAUCAGUCUUAGGAGUUGGAAUUAGGGUUUUGAUUUGACCAAAGGCAGUAUAAAUAAUAGAGUAAGCCGCCAACACCAAGCUUCAAAACUACUUGAUCUUAUCUGAGCUGAGAAAAAGGGGUUUAGGGUUCCGAUCUGUUCCGAUCCUCACCGUGUGAGCAACCCCGUAUACUUCCUUUGGAGUGUAUUGUCGGCGGCUCCGGUGACGGAAAGGUGUCCUUAUUCUCCCUUUGUUUUCAGCGAUGAAGACUGCUUGCUGCCUGAGCUCGGCGCUAUGAUGGCUUUUGCGAGCUUUAACACCCUCUCCCCCCCCCCCGCCCAAAUUAUCUGUUUUUCGAAAACUUAGGUUUUGAUUUUUGUUCUAGGUUCUUUUGUUUUUAAAUUGAGAUUGAAAAUAAUUUUUUGUUUUCAAAGCUUUAUUGUUUUAACAUUGCGCGUAAUGCUUAUGUGAAGAUUCAGUCUUGUUGUUAUAAUUGGCUUUCUAAAUUUUUAUAUUUAAUAUACAUAUUGUUAAACUUACGAUAGAUCCGUGUAAGGUUCAUAGAAGAAGAACCUAAAAAUUGGGUCAUGUUGGAUUCCGUGUAGAAGAUGAGAAGCUGUGCAACUUUUUCGAGAGAUCUUGGUGCCAGUUGCAUCGUCUCAGGCACUGUCAACGGCUGCUCCAAUGGUAUUUGAGCAAACAUGGCAAGAUGGGGUUAGCAGUUAGGAGUCACUUGUGUCUAAACACUCAACUUGAGGACACACCAGCCAGAUAGGAGCUUCUUGCAAACCUCCGCAUCUCUGUUGUGUCAUUGAAGCUGGUUCAAAUCUCUGUUUUCCACAUCUUUCCACAUCUAGCAACAUGUCUUGGUGGUUCAUGAUUGUAAUCAAAUCUUAAUAAAUUAAUGAAAUUGUUGAAUAUACAUA